rnacentral:rRNA from 1 species
GGUGAACGCUGGCGGCGGGCCUAAUACAUGCAAGUCGAGCGGACAGACGAGGAGCUUGCGCCUCUGACGUUGGCGGCGGACGGGUGAGUAACACGUGGAUAACCCACCUAUAAGACUGGGAUAACUUCGGGAAGCCGGAGCUAAUACCGGAUAAUAUAUUGUACCGCAUGGUUCAGUAGUGAAAGACGGUUUUGCUGUCACUUAUAGAUGGAUCCGCGCCGCAUUAGCUAGUUGGUAAGGUAACGGCUUACCAAGGCAACGAUGCGUAGCCGACCCGAGAGGGAUGUUCGCCCACAUGGAACUGAAGCCAGGGCCAGAACCCCAAGGGGAGGAGGAGUAGGGAAUCUUCCGCAAAGGGCGAAAGCCUGACGGCGCAACGACGGGGGAGUGAUGAAGGGCUUCCGAUCGUAAAACUCUGUUAUUAGGGAAGAACAAAUGUGUAAGUAACUAUGCACGUCUUGAAGGUACCUAAUCAGAAAGCCACGGCUAACUACGUG